GUCAACCUACGGGGCGCAGCAGUAGGGAAUCUUCGGCAAUGGGCGAAAGCCUGAUGCAGCAACGCCGCGUGAGCGAUGAAGGCCUUCGGGUCGUAAAGCUCUGUCCUCAAGGAAGAUAAUGACGGUACUUGAGGAGGAAGCCCCGGCUAACUACGUGCCAGCAGCCGCGGUAAUACGUAGGGGGCUAGCGUUAUCCGGAAUUACUGGGCGUAAAGGGUGCGUAGGUGGUUUCUUAAGUCAGAGGUGAAAGGCUACGGCUCAACCGUAGUAAGCCUUUGAAACUGGGGAACUUGAGUGCAGGAGAG
rnacentral:rRNA from 1 species